rnacentral:lncRNA from 1 species
GUCGUGGAGAGGAGGCUCAGGGGGACCGGGGCCAGUCCACUCAGGGCCUGAACAGAGCAACGUGGUACAGGAAGGGAGGGUGGCUGUCCCUGCCUGACUGCCGAGCUGGGACACGGACCUGCUCCUCCCUCCAGGGCUCCUGGUUCUCAGGGCUUCAGACCCACCCUAGAAUCUACACCACAGGCUCUCCUGGGUCUCCAGCUUGCAGACAACAGAUCCUGGGUCUUCCCAUCCUCCAUAAUCACGAUGAUCAGCUUUGCGAAGGAACAGAUCAGAUACGGUGUCGUAUCAAAUGGCCUCCAGGAGGGGGAGCAGCAACUCCUGCAGCCCUGAAACCCGUCCUCCAGCCAAGGGCACGAUGUUUCUCAGAGGUGUCCCAUACAACCACCUCCACCCCCACCACCCCCAUGAUCACCAUCACUGCCAACAGCACCGCCAACCACUGCUGCCUCCACAACCUCAGCCACCGCCGACAUCAUACCCUCUACAGCCUCCAUGUAGCCACUGCCUCCAACAUCAUCACCAAUACUACCAUCAUCACCUCCACCACCUUCUCAAAAAGAGAAAAAGAAGAACAAAUACAGCUAAUAUAUGGCCCUAAAUGUUAAGGGCUGAGAAGUGCUAUGGGAAAGACGAACAAGACAGAGCACGCAGGAGCCCUUAGGCAUAUGGGGUGAUGCCAAGUUGCCAUUGUAAACAGGCUAUUGGAGUGUGUCUAAUUAAGAUGGUAUUUGCCCAAAGACUGGAAGUAGGAAUAAAUUAGCCAAG